rnacentral:rRNA from 1 species
AACGCGAAGAACCUUACCAAGGCUUGACAUCCAAUGAACUUUCUAGAGAUAGAUUGGUGCCUUCGGGAACAUUGAGACAGGUGCUGCAUGGCUGUCGUCAGCUCGUGCCGUGAGAUGUUGGGUUAAGUCCCGUAACGAGCGCAACCCUUGUCCUUAGUUACCAGCACGUUAUGGUGGGCACUCUAAGGAGACUGCCGGUGACAAACCGGAGGAAGGUGGGGAUGACGUCAAGUCAUCAUGGCCCUUACGGCCUGGGCUACACACGUGCUACAAUGGUCGGUACAGAGGGUUGCCAAGCCGCGAGGUGGAGCUAAUCCCAUAAAACCGAUCGUAGUCCGGAUCGCAGUCUGCAACUCGACUGCGUGAAGUCGGAAUCGCUAGUAAUCGCGAAUCAGAAUGUCGCGGUGAAUACGUUCCCGGGCCUUGUACACACCG